UACGUAGGGGGCGAGCGUUGUCCGGAUUUAUUGGGCGUAAAGGGCGCGUAGGCGGUUUGGCAAGUCUGUUGUGAAAUCUUCGGGCUCAACUCGAAGUCUGCACUGGAAACUGCCGGGCUUGAGUAUGGGAGAGGUGAGUGGAAUUUCCGGUGUAGCGGUGAAAUGCGUAGAUAUCGGAAGGAACACCUGUGGCGAAAGCGGCUCACUGGACCAUAACUGACGCUGAGGCGCGAAAGCGAGGGGAGCAAACAGG
rnacentral:rRNA from 1 species